UUCUAUUCAUCACAAGAUAUCAUUGAUCAAUAUAUAUAUAAGAUUCAAUAGUUUUCUUCACUCAAGUUAGCUACAACCAUUAUGGAAAUACACAAGUCGGAUAUACAAGAGAGGCAUGUUACAAACAUAAUGGCCAAAGUUCAUAAGAGACCAAGUGCUUGUUCCCUGGGCUGCUACUGCUACAGAAUUUUAUGGAAGACCAAAUCUUCAAUCGCCAAGCCAAAUCAACUUCCAUAUGAACAAAAUGUGUCAUCCAUGUUCUCAAGAAAAGCAAUCACAAGAACAUCUUCGAUCAACUAGUGGACUUGCUACUUUCUACCAUUUGUCCCUACAAAAGAACUCAUAUGUUUCAGCAAUCUUUGAAACAAUACAAUGUAUUCAAAUGCAUGAGUUGCCUUUGAGUCCAAAGGUCUAAGAAACAGAAGAUGUACAAGAAAAGUAAACUGAUACUUGAUUGCCUCACCUCUCUAAUACAAAUUAUGCAUGUCAUUGCGGUUCAUGCAUUCUAUAGUUAUAAAGCAAAGAUUCAAGUUACAAAAGGUAACCUUAUUAGAAUAUAAACCAAAGUCAGCAUAGCACCUAGCAUAUCAAAAAUGGCUUACUAUAAAAAUGUAUGAACUCGCUGUGAGCAAUCAGGUUGUUCUAAGCCAUCAGGAGUAAGGUCCUUACUGUAAUUUCAGAGAUUGCAUUCGAAGCUACUCAAUCAGCAAAUCGCUACAACACCUAUGUUUACCUACAAAAGGAGUCGGGUGUAAUCCUAAUAUGUGGACUGAACUAAAUAUGCUUCCCAGAAAAAUAAUGGUCAAGUUUUUUUUGUGUGCCUGAUCUUUAAAAGAGAGCAAGCUUCAGUUUAUCUGCUAGGAAUUGCAGACUGGCGGACAAUUGUACCACUCACCGUAUUUGAACAAAUAUUCAAGCAAACAUUCAGUUUAGCUUGCAUACUAAAUCACACAUUUCUGCUAGCUUCCAUGAUCAAGUCUCUGAACUUGAUACUAUUUGCAUGAUAAUGGGGGUUGCGCUGCACACAUAUAAACAUAGAAACCAAACAUUCUAUGUUCUGCUAUAACCCAGAUUCAGUAUCACCUUAUCGUGCCCUUAAUUCUUGUCUAUUUCCGAUAGAAGUUAGAUACUCUAGUAGCCUGAUGCAUCAUCCAUUUAUAAUGACACUACAAACUGCACUGUAUGUGUUUAGUUAUGAAGCAUGAAACCUGACAAGAAAAAUACAUAGAUUGCCCAAAAGAAAAAUAAUAGUGUUUAGUUCAAACUGAGGACCAUUUUCCCCAUUCUGAACCUAUGUCUUCCUGACCCAAGUAUCAAACAAAACAUAGCAGUGUCAUCUCAUGGAAAAAAGUUGACAAGAAUAAUACCUGGUGUUUCCACAUUUCUGAUUCCUUGAGAAAAGAGAACUUGAUGGAUUCUCCAAUUUGCC
rnacentral:lncRNA from 1 species